GAUGAAGAACGCAGCGAAAUGCGAUAAGUAAUGUGAAUUGCAGAAUUCAGUGAAUCAUCGAAUCUUGAACGCACAUUGCGCCCGCCAGUAUUCUGGCGGGCAUGCCUGUCCGAGCGUCAUUUCAACCCUCGAACCCCUCCGGGGGGUCGGCGUUGGGGAUCGGCCCUCCCUUAGCGGGUGGCCGUCUCCGAAAUACAGUGGCGGUCUCGCCGCAGCCUCUCCUGCGCAGUAGUUUGCACACUCGCAUCGGGAGCGCGGCGCGUCCUCAGCCGUUAAACACCCAACUUCUGAAAUGUUGACCUCGGAUCAGGUAGGAAUACCCGCUGAACUUAAGCAUAUCAAUAAGCGGAGGA
rnacentral:misc_RNA from 1 species